GACGAACGAUGGCGGCGUGCUUAACACAUGCAAGUCGAACGGUAAGGCCCUUCGGGGUACACGAGUGGCGAACGGGUGAGUAACACGUGGGUGAUCUGCCCUGCACUUCGGGAUAAGCCUGGGAAACUGGGUCUAAUACCGGAUAGGACUCCGGACUGCAUGGUCUGGGGUGGAAAGCUUUUGCGGUGUGGGAUGGGCCCGCGGCCUAUCAGCUUGUUGGUGGGGUGAUGGCCUACCAAGGCGACGACGGGUAGCCGGCCUGAGAGGGUGACCGGCCACACUGGGACUGAGAUACGGCCCAGACUCCUACGGGAGGCAGCAGUGGGGAAUAUUGCACAAUGGGCGCAAGCCUGAUGCAGCGACGCCGCGUGAGGGAUGACGGCCUUCGGGUUGUAAACCUCUUUCAGCAUCGACGAAGCGAAAGUGACGGUAGGUGCGGAAGAAGGACCGGCCAACUACGUGCCAGCAGCCGCAGUAA
rnacentral:rRNA from 1 species